AAGAUAAUUAAUUAAAUUGUCAAUUUAAUUUUUCUUAACCAGUUUAUCUUG
rnacentral:tRNA from 1 species